rnacentral:lncRNA from 1 species
AUUUGCAGGGAGUGAGGGAAGGGGUCCCGCAGCGACUGUCCCCACCCCGUCCGCCNNNNNNNNNNNNNNNNNNNNNNNNNNNNNNNNNNNNNNNNNNNNNNNNNNNNNNGGGCGGUCGGGGCGGCCGUGGCAAUGCAGCGCACAGCUGGGGAGGCGUCAGUCGGGGAUGCCCGGAGAGGUGGCUGUGCUGUGUCGAUGCAGUCGUCUCGGAGCAGAGCCGUGUUGUCGCAGGGGAGAGUUACCCUGAAUGCUGGCACUGCGUAUGAACACUGUAGUCAGACUGUGCUGUCUGACUGUUGCAGCACUGUUGGGGUGUGGAAACCCCAUCUGGUGGCACUAGGAGAUACAGCCAGCUCAUGUGACCUCUUUGUGGUACAGGGACACAGUACAGGAGACUGCAGCCUCCACGGAGGUGCAGGGGUUGAAAUGGCUCUUGUGCACAGAAGUGACAAAAUCUGCAGCUUCUCCGUCUCGUCGGAGGCCUCGUUCUCUGAGGAUCUGCGUCCGCUGGGAUGAGACAGUUAAUUGUCGAUGCUUACGAGUGUAUCGAUAAACUCCGAAGUUUAUUCCCAAGCUUUGAAAAGUGAUGAAGGGGGUGAUUUUUGCCAGAGCCUCAGCAGAUUGCAACGGAAGGGAAGCUGGGGAAGGAGGGAGGAGCAAAGCAGAGACCACGCGAGUCACGGUCCACACAGACUGACUCGCACAUGGUCUGAGGUCUGCGUUUUGCUCUCUUGCGUUUGAAAAUAAUGCCUCUACUCCUAUCAUCUCCUUUACUUUUCCAUUUCAGGUGAAGUGAUGCUCUUCAUGUGUCACUAACAGUGUUCCUUGGAGUACAAAACUAAUACCUAAUUGGCGGCUGCCUCCGUAAAGGGCUGUUUACAGCUAAGUAAUAUUAGUGUCAAUGACAACUGUAACCUGUUCAUUUGUUUCCCACUCUUCCCAGGAGUACUGCGAACAAGAUGGCUGCAACUGGACUGUACAAAAUGGGUGACGGAAGCAGCUAUGCAACUAACUGCUUCCCUGCCAGGAACAUUUUGCGCACAAACAAAGAAGGGGCUGGGUGCUGGCUGCUGGCACGCAGAACUACCAGGAGGGCCCGGAUCGAGCAGGGAAUCCCUGGAGAGAAGCAUCAGAAGAGGAGAAAGCCCCAAAGUUCGGCCUCUGCAGAAGAAGACAAUAUCCUAGAUGAGCCAUUUCUGGUGAGCGUAGAUUCCCUGUUAUUGUCUAAACCAAGUGACAACGCGUCCUGGCCUUGUGGGGGACCUUGUUGGUGGACAGACGCUGUAGCUGCCUCUCCUCCCCAUCUCCAUGCCAUGCCAUCUCCACAUUCAUGGGCGCUCCAGGCGCUCACCCUCUCCCCCUCACUGUGGUUCAAGGCACCAGGUGCCCCACACAGGUGGGGUGUCCUGCCGUGAAGGAGAGGACAGCUGAGAUCUGGUUUGGGGGUUCAGGUCCUAGGACACGGCAUACAGGAUUGCUUACAUAGGUGGUGCAGGGCUAAGCUUUUGCUUUUUCAUUUUUCCAGAUGAAGCAUCACUGUUUGAAGAACCCUUCUGACUUGUGCUCUGUGAAUAUAAGCAACCAAAAUCUGGUCUCUGUGAGUAUCAGAGACUCAGGAAGUAUUAGGGAACUACCUUAAAUAUUGAAAAAUUUAGCACAUGAGUGUCCAGACAUCAGACAAAACACAUAUUAGAACCCAGGCAUAUUUCCUGCACAAGAAAGCUAACCAGCCAGCCAUGAACAGGCCUGGAUGAUUUGUCCUAUAAACCUUUGGAUCAUGUCUUUGUAACAGAAUUAACUUGGUCUUCAUCAGGUGUAGCCCUUUCCCCAUUUACACUGACUCACAAAAUCCUUUCCUCUGGGUUCAUGGGUGGUGUUUACUUAAGCUGACAGGCCAUGGUGGGAAUUAAACGUCAGCUCAAGAAGUGACUUGUAUUUGAGCUGGCGACUAACCUGCAGUGCAAAGAGAAAAUGAGCUGAACUGCUGAUAAUUAUUUUAGUGUCUUUUUAGGGUUCUCUUCCGGUGCUGCGAAAGACAGAUGUGUUAAAUCAUAGAGUGGCAAGGUUUGUUGGGUCACAAGUGAGCAUGAGAUACACCCUAGGAGUCCUGCAAGGCAUACAGGGGAGCGAGGUCAGCAGUGACAGCACAGACAGGGCUUCGAUUUGGGGCUGAACUAAGCCAGGUCUUUUGAAUGUCAGUCACUGAAUUAACUCUGCGUUAGAGGCGUACUCACAGAGAGCUGUGCUCCAUAGUCAGAAAAACAAAGGAAGACCUAAUUAUGAGAAAUGCUGUGAUUUAAGGAUUGUGGAAAAAAUAAGAAAGAAGAGAUCCAGUUGCUUCAAACUAGUUUAGGGCUGGAGCUGACUGAUUUUUUUCCUAUACUUUUUUUAGGCUAAAGAAGAUGAUUUUGAGAA